rnacentral:lncRNA from 1 species
AGGCUGGAUGAUGGUGAUAACGAGAAUGAAUGAAGAUGGUGAAAUCUGGAAUGGUCUAGUUGUCAAUAUUUUAAUGUAGCCAACAUAGGCACUUUUGAAGUGGCCUCCGAUGCGAAGGUGAGAUCAGAAAUACGCCUGUGGAACCCUCUACAUGCGGAUCUGGCAAGCAUUCAACACAAACGCAAUUAGAGGGCUUACCCUUGCAUGAAAUAUUUGCUUUCCUGAUAGUCACUAACUUUAAACUUUAGGAAUGCCAGGGCAUAGUGUUUCUGUAUCAGAACUAGAAUCCUCUACUUCACUUUCUUCAGCUAUUAUUUUUGAAGUUUGCAUAUCGUAUUAAAGUCCCACCAAACAAUAAAUAGGAAAGCAUGAUUUUAUUAAAAUCCUCUUGAGACAA